rnacentral:rRNA from 1 species
GAUGAACGCUGGCGGCGUGCCUAACACAUGCAAGUCGAACGGAGUCCAGCCUUUAAGACCUUCGGGUCAAAGAGGGGAAGACUGAGUGGCGGACGGGUGAGUAACACGUGGGCAACCUGGCUCAUAGAGGGGGAUAACAGAGAGAAAUUUCUGCUAAUACCGCAUAAGCACACACUGCCGCAUGGCAGAGGGUGAAAAGAGAAUCGCUAUGAGAUGGACCCGCGUCUGAUUAGCCAGUUGGCAGGGUAAGAGCCUACCAAAGCGACGAUCAGUAGCCGAUCUGAGAGGAUGAACGGCCACAUUGGGACUGAGACACGGCCCAAACUCCUACGGGAGGCAGCAGUGGGAGAUAUUGCACAAUGGGGGGAACCCUGAUGCAGCGACGCCGCGUGAGUGAAGAAGUAUUUCGGUAUGUAAAGCUCUAUCAGCAGGGAAGAUAAUGACAGUACCUGAAUAAGAAGCCCCGGCUAACUACGUG